rnacentral:rRNA from 1 species
UAAUACGAAGGGUGCAAGCGUUACUCGGAAUUACUGGGCGUAAAGCGUGCGUAGGUGGUGGUUUAAGUCCGUUGUGAAAGCCCUGGGCUCAACCUGGGAAUUGCAGUGGAUACUGGAUCACUAGAGUGUGGUAGAGGGAUGCGGAAUUUCUGGUGUAGCAGUGAAAUGCGUAGAGAUCAGAAGGAACAUCCGUGGCGAAGGCGGCAUCCUGGGCCAACACUGACACUGAGGCACGAAAGCGUGGGGAGCAAACAGG